CACAAACAUCAUUAAAAUCUCACACUACAGAAUCAGAAUUCUCUCUAUUCCAUCCAAGAAAUAUAAGGAGGAAAAUCGGAAAAAAAGGAACAUAUAUAUACACCAUGCAAGAAGCUAAAACUAUAGUAACUAUCACCUCAACAACAAUAUUGUUCUUGUUCGUGAUCACUAUAAAUAUUUCAAAUGUUGCAGCAAGAUUACCAGAUGAAAAAAUUAUUGUUAUAACCAACAACCACACAAAUUACCUUAGCGUUCGUUGCUUCUCCUUUGAUAAUGAUGGUGAUGACGUUAAACAUCUCCAUGCCAUGGACAGUUUCAACAUUACUGUCAAAAUAAGAAAAUUCUUCUCCACUUCAACAAUGUACAAUUGUUCCACGAACAUGGGAACAUUCAUCGCAUUUAAAUACAACUAUGGGUGUGCUACCCAUUCAGGGCCUUGUGAGUGGAGGUUUGAUGAGAACUUCACGUAUCACUAUAGUCCCAAGAGGAAACAAUGGGUUGUAUACGAAUAUUAUCCAAAUUAUGAAUCUCUUACUAGAGGAGGAGUUAUCAAAGGGUACUACGUUAACUAAAAUGGAACGAUAUACAUUUGACAACACUGAAGAUUUAGAUAAUACAAGACUAUCAGAUACUUUGUCAAACAAAAAAAAAAGUAUAGAAUGUAAUUUAGAUAAUAAAUAGAAUGUUUAGUGUGACAUGUUAGAAAUACAGGUGACAAAAUAGUCUUGUUAAUUAUGCAUUUACAGCUUUGGUCCCUUACAGUUUGUAAGAAGAAGACACUUUUAGUCUUCAUCAAAUUUUUACCA